UAGCCAUGAUGUGGGCAAGCACUUAAAAUGUCCUUGAACCUUUUCCAAUAUUAGAAGAAGGUUUCUUCCUCUUUCUGUGGGAAAUUCAUGAUGACCCUUUUAAGGGU